AACUGUUGUGCUCUGUGGGUGGGGAUAUGGAAGCACAAGGCUGUCUCUGACAACAGCGUCACGCUGGCCGCUGUCCCUCCAACCUGGAUGGGCCCUGCGCUGGGCCGGGAAUUCUGCCCCCAGGGCUGAUGUGAGGACGAAGUUCUUCACUUAUCUGUUAUGAGUUUUCACCAUCAACUACCCCCACUCUUCUUUUGGGGUGAGAGAUGGGACUUGUCUUGGAAAGAAGGCUUUGCUUUGCCCUUGGGAAGGUGGAGAGUUGAGAAAAAGAAUGUGACUGGCUGGGCUUAAUGGUGCGAGUGGUUUUGUGCGCUCUAGGGUGAGAAGUCUGUUUUUCCCAUGGGUUUUGUCUUUCUGGUCCAAGAACUUGAGGACCUUGCUAGAAGAGCGUUCCAGCCAGAUUCUCUCUUCACCUGCUUCUGGAGUUUGGGGUUGAGCAGCCUGGAGUGCACAGAGCCUUGGCAUCCCUGGUUCGGGGUUCUGCAAAUGGGCCAAGCCCACUCUCAGAGCUGUGCGGGUGAAUCCAACAGUGCCUGUACCCUGCCUGCUCUGGAAAUGAGGCCCCUGGAGAAAGGAGGCCUGGACUCUGGAGAGGGGACACCAGUUCUGGGGCCUGGCCAAUAGACAAGGACACAGGGAUCUUUGAUAAACAGGGUUUGGCUUUCUUCUCAGAGUUGUGAUUUCUUGCCUGGUUCCCAUGAGCCCCUGGGAAGCUGGACCUGGAACACUGGAGCCUGGUAUUCUCUGUUGUGGGGAAUCCAGGGUGAAGUGUGGCCACGCCUUGGGCUAUCCUGGAGAGCUACAGCAUGGGAGAAGCUCGUGGAGUUCUGUGACACAGUGAUUGGCCAGGAAGCCCAGAGCAAGAGGCGACAAGACACAGCCAGAUCAGGGAGAAGGCCUGCCAGCAAUCCAGACAUCCAUGCCGUGAGCUUUCUGCAAGACCUCAGGCAAUGCUCCAGAAGGCCACCUCUGGGACGGUGGGGUCCUACAGGUGGGCAGAGCUGGGUUUACUUUUGCAAGAUCAUAUGUUCAGAGGUAAAACCCAUGGGGGUGAAGACCUGGCAGGUGCAUUCCACCAAUCUGGCCAUGGGAAGAAGGACACCUGUGCUUUUUGUGAGUGGCCACGUGUUUUUGUGGCUCUAGGAGUCAGGGUUAGAGCCAGAUUAAGAAAAAACAGAACCCCAAAUGCUGUGAAUUUCAGGCUUCUUUGGCCAUUCAGGUAAAAAAUAACCUGUGCCACGUGGAUCAAGCUUGAUGUGGGUGCAAGGGAAGCAGCAUGGGGCUGUCAUUUCAAUCAGGGCACAAACACUGGAGAGAAAAUAAAUACUUUAGAAGGCACUUGACCUUUUAAUGUGGAGUUCUAAAAAUGGAGAUUGAACACAGUGAUGCUUAACAGAGGCAAAGAGAGCCAGGCUGCUAUCAGAUUCUUUCUAUUCAAGAGUCUGGCUCCCCUCCCUGGCAUUAGCAGGGCAGCCCUGUUACCUGAGUGAGUACAAGAAGAGCUGUUACCUGGAUGAACCUGAGAACAGCCCUAUUACCUGGGUGAGCACAAGAACAGCCUGUUAUUUGGAUGAACCUGAGGAUAGUUCUCUUACCAAGCAGGCUUGUGUAAGAAGCAUGACUGCCUAAGACCACCACACUGUGGGAAGGCCAAGGCCUGUGUAAUGAGGCACCAUGUUCAGAGGAAGGCCAAGGAGCACCAAGGAGGCAGAAGACUGAGUGGAGAGGAAUAUGCAAGGGAUGCUGUGUGGUCAGAAUCAAGCUUCCCAGUGUCACUCAAAGAAGCAGCAAGACUCUGUCUUAACAUGGCCUGCUGUUGCUAUUAUUUCCCUCGAAGCCAUGAGACCCUGGAUGAGAGCAGCAGCGGGGCAUGUGAGUUAACAUCGCAUGCUUUCCUGACUCCACUGCCCCACUCAUGAGGUCAUAGCAUAGCUUCUUGCACUUGUCCUUCUCUGAAUGGAAGCCACUUGGAUCCUCCAGGUGUUUCUCCAAGGGGCAGGGCUUUCAGCACAGAAUCAACAGGACAAACCAUCUGGAAAGCCCGGAGGCGUGUUCCGCAGCAUGUAUGAGCAGAGCUGCAGUAAACGGUGCCUCCUUGUCUGCCCAUCUUAGCUGUUCAGCUGACUUCUUGCCGUCUCCAACUGUCUUCUCUAUCUCAUCCUGAUGACUCCUUCCCACAACUCUUUCCCUGGCUGCCGCACCGGUCCAGCUGCAGCCUGCAUUCACAGUUACUUACACAGGGAGUUUCUUGUUUCCGAGAUGGCCAAAUUGUCUUCUGAAAUUUA